rnacentral:SRP_RNA from 1 species
UCAGACCCCUCGUGCGGCAUCACCUCGCCGAACUCCCCCAGGGCCGGAAGGCAGCAAGGGUAAGUGAGCUCUGAUGGGUGCGCGAGGGGUCCUUGCU